CUACCAUUUCCAGUUUUAAAUCUCUUUCUUGAUCAAAUCUAGAACACUGAGCUAAAAUAGAAGUUGCACAAACUGGCCUUCUGACUUUUGUGAAAGUUGUGUCAUCUUCCUCAGGAUUUUCCUCUUGCUUCUCAUAAGCUCAAAAGAAAAUGGUAGCACCUGGAAGGCAGGGACCAUGGCUCAUUCAUCUUGCAUUCCACCAUUGAUCAUUCAGCAGUAUGGCUUUAAACAGGUUUAUGUUGUCCUUCAUCAAAAAUUAUAGAGGAUCGGCAGACUGAGACGCUUUGGGAUUGAAAUGAGGCCAUUCAGAGUUCCUCAUGCGUGGUGGCUGCCUUUUGUUUUGAUCCCUAUCAUUCUUAGUCUGUCUUUUUCAAGAAUAUCCUGGAAGGACUGUCCUGAGUGAGGGCACAAGCGAAAAUGGCAGGCUACUGAGCCACCGGGUGCACACAAUACCUGCUCUUUGAGUAUUUGAAAUCCCUUGGCCGGGAGACAUUUUUCUGAAAACAAAUCUGGAGGGCCUCA